rnacentral:rRNA from 1 species
GACGAACGCUGGCGGCGUGCUUAACACAUGCAAGUCGAGCGGGUAAGGCCCUUUCGGGGGUACACGAGCGGCGAACGGGUGAGUAACACGUGGGUGACCUGCCCUCAGCUCUGGGAUAAGCCCGGGAAACUGGGUCUAAUACCGGAUAUGACCUCUCAUCGCAUGGUGGGUGGUGGAAAGUCGGUGUCAUUGAUGCCGGCGGUUGGGGAUGGGCCCGCGGCCUAUCAGCUUGUUGGUGGGGGAUGGCCUACCAAGGCGACGACGGGUAGCCGGCCUGAGAGGGCGACCGGCCACACU